GGGCUUCAUCAUCACUGGAGGACUGGCACUGGUUCCUCUGAGUGACUGUAAGCUAUUUAUUUUCCCAAAGGAUCAGAGACCUGAAUAUUUAUUCCACUAACACAUGCUGCUAUGGGCCAAAACCUUCUAUCAGAAUUGCCCGCUCUGGGCCUUCAAUGGGUGAUAGCUAGUCCUUGGCGCAAUGCAGACACACGUUGGAGCUGAACUUUGGAACAGGAGUGAGAAUAAGGAACACAAAAUCCCACUCACUCAUCCUGAACAGACUAGUAUCUCCUCCAAAGAGAGAGAAGAGCCUGUUCAAGCGGGAUGCCUACCAUUAUGUGGCACCCUCAUGAGCUCAUGGAUCUGAUCAAACUUGAGAGAGAAAAUCAUGCUGAACCAAUGAGCCUGAGAGUCAAAGAUUAGUGAAGUGUCAUGAUCAUAUACUAAAUGCAACCAGACACAUUAACAGCUUCUCCUUCAGGAGCACCCCGACAGCUCACCGUGGCUGGCUGGUGAACUGAGAAGGACGAAGCAGGAUGCCUUGCUAGCCCUGCCAGCAAAGGGCUGGGAGUCCUGCUUCGUGUGGGUAUCGCAUUGAGAGGGUGCAUGCCCUAGCCCACCCGCAUCUGCAUUAGUUGGGGGAACUUGUGGAUAUUUUCCACCACUGAUGUCGCUUGGGGGUUGGUUGGGAGGCUGGUUACCAGGGGAUUUGGGGAGGGGGAGUGUCUGAAGUUCUAAAAGUAGGGGAUUCAUUGUGGGGGGCAUGCUGGUGAAAGUCUAUCCCUCUCCUUUGUUUGGUUUGCUGGGAUAUGUUUCCUUCCCUGGGCCAGAUGCAGAUUAAUCCCAGGUGGGAAUGUAGGGUGAGUCUUGGUGCCAUUGGUUGGGUCUGUUGUCUUGUGUGUGCUGCUUAAUGCAAGGCCAGCAGUGAA